rnacentral:lncRNA from 1 species
UCUUGAUCCAGUCUCCAGUUGAUGGGCAUUUGUGCUGUUUCCAAAUUUUAGCUAUUACAAACUGUGCUGCUAUGAACAUGGGUGCACAUAGAUCACUGUGGUAUGCUUCUUUUAAUUCUUUGGGGAAGAUAUCGAGCAAGGGAAUAGCUGGGUCAAAUGGGACUUCCAGUCCUAGUUGUUUGAGGUAUCUCCAUACUGAUUUCCACAGUGCUUGCACCAGUCUAAACUCCCACCAGCCGUGGAGCAGAGUUCCCCUUUCCCCACAGCCCUGCCAGCAUUUGUUAUUGGUUGAUUUCCUGCUAGCAGCCAUUCUUUCUGGGAAUUCAGCGGUGAAGCCAUGAGGACUGGGGCUUUUCUUGGUUGGAGUUUCUCUUGGUUAUAUGCUAAUGUACAGAUUGCUAAAUGGUGAUUACUGGCCACUGAGCAAUAACCUGAAUUGAACCAUCUACUUCUCUUGGAUCGAACUCAGGAACUUGUGCUUGCUCGGCAGGCGCCUGAACCACUGAGCUAAAUCCUCGGCCCCUCAAUGCCUUAUUUACAUGAGAAAGAAGCCAAUCUAGAAUACAAAAAAAAAAAAACUCCUUUCAUUAUCCUCCUGGCCAAGGUAAUGAAUGAACACAUUGCCCUACACUCACUCUGCAUAGUGUACUUUCCACUUUCAAUAAAUGUACAUUCCCACUACCUUUUCUGUGUGUCUUAUCCAAUUCUUUGUUUCGGAC